CUCACUUUCCAUUGUCUCGAUAUGCCGUUUGCAAUAAACUUUGCAUAAAUAGUUAAUUUGCAUGUAAUUUUAAUGGUUCAAAGAAUGCCAGGCGAAAUG